UUAGGCAUGCAAGUCGAACGGUAUAAACCUUUCGGGGUUUAGAGAGUGGCGAACGGGUGAGUAACACGUAGGUAAUCUACCCUCAAAACGGGGACAACCCAGGGAAACUUGGGCUAAUACCGGAUGCGUGCAAGCAAUGUUUUGGCUGUUAAUGCUAUUCACGGAAGUGAGUAGUGUUAAUGGUUGAGAGCAUUAUUUGCAUAAAAGGUAGCAUAUGCUGCCGUUUGAGGAUGAGCCUGCGUCCUAUUAGUUAGUUGGUGAGGUAAUGGCUUACCAAGGCGAUGAUAGGUAGGCGGCCUUAACGGGUGGUCGCCCACACUGGGAUUGAGAGACGGCCCAGACUCCUACGGGAGGCAGCAGUCGAGAAUAGUCUACAAUGGACGGAAGUCUGAUAGUGCGACGCCGCGUGAACGAAGAAUCCCUUCGGGGUGUAAAGUUCUUUUAUACGUGAGCAGUGCCCUUUAUAUGAAUAGUAUAGAGGGAGGGAUUUAAGCGUAUGAAUAAGCAACGGCUAACUCCGUG
rnacentral:rRNA from 1 species